rnacentral:rRNA from 1 species
GAUGAACGCUGGCGGCGUGCCUAAUACAUGCAAGUCGAGCGAACAGAUGAGGAGCUUGCUCCUCUGACGUUAGCGGCGGACGGGUGAGUAACACGUGGAUAACCUACCUAUAAGACUGGGAUAACUUCGGGAAACCGGAGCUAAUACCGGAUAAUAUAUUGAACCGCAUGGUUCAAUAGUGAAAGACGGUUUUGCUGUCACUUAUAGAUGGAUCCGCGCCGCAUUAGCUAGUUGGUAAGGUAACGGCUUACCAAGGCAACGAUGCGUAGCCGACCUGAGAGGGUGAUCGGCCACACUGGAACUGAGACACGGUCCAGACUCCUACGGGAGGCAGCAGUAGGGAAUCUUCCGCACUGGGCGAAAGCCUGACGGAGCAACGCCGCGUGAGUGAUGAAGGUCUUCGGAUCGUAAAACUCUGUUAUUAGGGAAGAACAAAUGUGUAAGUAACUAUGCACGUCUUGACGGUACCUAAUCAGAAAGCCACGGCUAACUACGU